UUUUGCGACACCACGAAACAAACGAUAGCGUAAAAUGAAAUAGACGUUUUUGUAUAUAUCGUUGUAUCGAACAGCCCUACGGUGGAUUCACACCUGCAGGUGCACAUAGGAAAUACUUGCCAUAUUCCACAGGACUUAAUUAUCAGCACUGCUUGAAAUUGUGUUCAGGUGCUGGUGACGAAGAGGUACAACGUGAACUGGAAACAUUUGGGGAUCCUGAUCUGUUCAGCAGAGAGAGUUUUAUUAAUGCUCCCCAAGGGCAGAUUGCCGAAGCCCUCGCUCCCCCACCUACUCCCUCUCUGACCGAAGAGCAGCAGAAACGUAUUGAGCUGAACAGACAGCGGGCCCUGGAAAAGAGGCGCGCACGCCAGCAGCAAAUUGGCCCUUCAGCCUCUCAGACUGCUGACAUGUUAGGAGACAAACCUCCAGCUGCAUCCUCACCAAAUGUCAUCAAAGGUUCUACUGAUGGAGAUGAAACUGUAGAAGAUCCUGACCUCGAGCCUUCCAACAACACCUCCACGCAACAAACCAGCCCGCUUCCCCCCAAAGACUCUGAGCCCGCUGAGGCUGAGACCGGCCUCAGCCCUGAGCAACAGCUCAGCAACGACUGUGUAGAGGGGGAUUAAAGUUCACGUGCAGCAGUUUCUGCUGAAAAGCUUUGGCAGUGAGCAGAUUUAAAGGUUUCCCAAUGUUCGUGCCUGCUCAUUCGAGUAAUGUUGUGCAUUUCUGGUGGUUUAUAUCUUGAGCACAUGUUCCUACUGUGACGUCAGCUUUGGGUUAGCAAAGACAUUUAUAAUCAAUGGAAAUAAAUGUUUUUCUUAUUUUUAAAAGUCCAAAUCCUAAACGUAUUUACCAUGUGUUGGUAUCUGUUACAGAAAAAUAUUUGAACUGAUCCACAGUUCCUGCUCUGAUGCAUCUUCUUUCUCCAGUUUCACUAUUGGCAGAAUUUUGGUUGCAAACAUGUUUCUAUAAAAGG